rnacentral:rRNA from 1 species
AUGGGACAACGGCGAGACUGUCUGGCGCCAACGCCGUCACCAUCAUUAGUCGCAUGUUUCGGCCGACCAGGAGGUAGUAGGCACCCUGGAGGCCCCGAAGCCACUUCGUGGAGAAUGGGUUCGUGCUGGACGGAGACGGGAGCGUCAUUGAUGUGGAGAAGAAGGAGCACGCCCAGGAGAAGAAGGAGCAAGCCCAGGAGAAAAAUAACGAGCAGGAGAAGAAGCAAAAUCUGGCUCAUGCCCGGUAGGAGUAGGAAGCUGCUGUAUUGGUGCUGUAGCAGAGGGAUGGGCCUCCUAGCAAAGCUUGCUGGGGGCAUUUUCAGGAUACGAUUGAUGCCUUGA